UGCCUUGAUCGUGGAAGGGUCUUAACCCCGAGGUGCCGGUUAUUCCGGUUCCGCGGGACAGGGCAGUGGUGGGCUAGUUUGACUGGGGCGGUCGCCUCCUAAAGUGUAACGGAGGCGCGCGAUGGUGACGCUCAGACGCGGUCGGACAUCGCUCAGUAGUAGUGCAAUGGCAUAAGCCUGCGCCUGACUGCGAGACUGACAAGUCGAGCAGAGUACGAAAGUCGGCACAUAGUGAUCCGGUGGUCUCCGUCAGUGGAAGGGCCAUCG
rnacentral:rRNA from 1 species